rnacentral:rRNA from 1 species
UUAGCAUAUCAAUAAGCGGAGGAAAAGAAACCAACAGGGAUUGCCCUAGUAACGGCGAGUGAAGCGGCAACAGCUCAAAUUUGAAAUCUGGCUCCGCUCUGGGGUCCGAGUUGUACUUUGCAGAGGGCGCUUUGGCGUCGGCAGCGGUCUAAGUUCCUUGGAACAGGACGUCACAGAGGGUGAGAAUCCCGUACGUGGCUGCUUGCCUUCGCCGUGUAAAGCCCCUUCGACGAGUCGUGUUGUUUGGGAAUGCAGCACUAAAUGGGAGGUAAAUUUCUUCUAAAGCUAAAUACCGGCCAGAGACCGAUAGCGCACAAGUAGAGUGAUCGAAAGAUGAAAAGCACUUUGGAAAGAGAGUCAAAAAGCACGUGAAAUUGUUGAAAGGGAAGCGCUUGCAGCCAGACUUGCUUGCGGUUGCUCAUCCGGGCCUGUGCCCGGUGUACUCUUCCGCAGGCAGGCCAGCAUCAGUUUGGGCGACUGGAGAAAGGCCUCUGUCACGUACCUUCCCUCGGGAAGGCCUUAUAGGGGAGGCGUAAUGCAGCCAGUCCAGACUGAGGUCCGCGCAUCUGCUAGGAUGCUGGCGUAAUGGCUGUAAGCGGCCCGUCUUGAAACACGGACCAAGGAGUCUAACAUCUAUGCGAGGUUGGGG